UCCUAAGGAGCCGUUCGUAAAUUUUUCCUAUCGUCGGGAGGAGACUAAUCGGACGGUAUUUUAGUGCUAGAAACUUUGCUCUCUUUUAUUUAUUUGAUAAUAAUAGAAGACGACUGUGAUUUAUAAACGUUAUUUAGUGUUUGAACCAGCAUAUAUAUUAAAGGUAAGUCUCAGUCGUUAUUGGUUUUAAUGUAUUUGAUUAAAUAAAAAUACAUGUAAAAAUCUGUUGUUUUUGGGGAUAUUGGGGACGUGUUAGGUCUUCGAUCAACAAUAGUAACUAGAUUUCGGGUCGUGCAUAAAAUCCGUCUUGUCAAAUAACAGCGCACUUGAAAUGUGAGCUCUUAUUUUGUUUAGUUCACUUCAAACACAGCCAAUGUCAACCCGUCUCACAAUACCGCAGUGUGUAUUCAAAAGUUGCAAAAAUAAGGCCCGAAAAAGCAAUUUAACGGCCGGAGUAUCUUACUUUCGCUUUCCUAGCAAUCACGUGUGCAGAAUGGAUCUCGAUUGUCGCCAGAGAAACAAGAGAUGACUUUUAUAAGCCAGCUAAGAACUCCGCUUAUUGACACUGGACAUCUUUGCCUUCCGUGCUCACGGCUACUGAAAUGUGGCCGAAACAUUGUAAUAAAAAUACCACGCUUGAAACCGUUUAAA